rnacentral:rRNA from 1 species
UACGUAGGAGGCGAGCGUUGUCCGGAAUCACUGGGCGUAAAGCGCGUGUAGGCGGUAGGGCAAGUCCGCCGUGAAAUCUCCGGGCUCAACCUGGAGAGGUCGGUGGAAGCUGCCCGACUUGAGGACGGUAGAGGGGGGUGGAAUUCCGCGUGUAGCAGUGAAAUGCGUAGAUAUCGUGAGGAAGACCAGUGGCGAAGGCGGAUCUCUGGACAGCUCCUGACGCUGAGGCGCGAAGGCUAGGGGAGCAAACGGG